rnacentral:rRNA from 1 species
AACGAACGUUAGCGGCGCGCCUAACACAUGCAAGUCGCACGAGAAAGGGCUUAGGCCCCGGUACAGUGGCGCACGGGUGAGUAACACGUAGGUAAUCUUCCCUCGAGUGGUGGAUAACUCUCCGAAAGGAGAGCUAAUACAGCAUGAGACCACAGCAUCCCCGGAUGCAGCGGUCAAAGCAGGCCUCUUCAUGAAAGCUUGCGCUCAAGGACGAGCCUGCGGCCCAUCAGCUAGUUGGUGAGGUAACGGCCCACCAAGGCUAAGACGGGUAGCUGGUCUGAGAGGAUGAACAGCCACACUGGAACUGACACACGGUCCAGACUCCUACGGGAGGCAGCAGUGGGGAAUCUUGCGCAAUGGGCGAAAGCCUGACGCAGCGACGCCGCGUGAGCGAUGAAGGCCUUCGGGUUGUAAAGCCUGUGGGGAGAGAAGAAUAAGGAUACGCUAACACCGUACUCGAUGACGGUAUCUCCUUAGCAAGCACCGGCUAACUCUGUGC